UACGUAGGGCGCAAGCGUUGUCCGGAAUUAUUGGGCGUAAAGAGCUCGUAGGCGGUUUGUUGCGUCGACUGUGAAAACCUGGGGCUUAACUCUGGGCUUGCAGUCGAUACGGGCAGACUAGAGUGCGGUAGGGGAGACUGGAAUUCCUGGUGUAGCGGUGAAAUGCGCAGAUAUCAGGAGGAACACCGGUGGCGAAGGCGGGUCUCUGGGCCGUAACUGACGCUGAGGAGCGAAAGCAUGGGGAGCGAACAGG
rnacentral:rRNA from 1 species